CUUUUUAUAUCCUUUUCACAUUCCUCGAUUGUAGUAAAAGUAGUGGAAACCGUGGCUAAAAGGAUGGAGAAAAAGUAGGAAAAGUGGGGAGACUCGGUUGUGGCAGUUGCCACAAUCCUAAAUCCAUGAUGAGUGGCGAGCGCCACUCUUGUAGUAACCGCCACCACUUUUCAAGGGCUGGUGGCGGGCGUCACCUUCCUUUUGGCCCAAUGUGGCGGGUGCCACAUCCUUUGGGUAAUGGGCGCCACAAGCCUAUUUGCU
rnacentral:lncRNA from 1 species